rnacentral:rRNA from 1 species
AAGCGUAAUAGCUCACUAGUCGAGUCGGCCUGCGCGGAAGAUGUACCGGGGCUUAAGCCAUAUACCGAAGCUAUGGAUGCACUUUUAGUGCAUGGUAGAGGAGCGUUGUGUAAGUCUGUGAAGGUGUGUUGAGAAGCAUGCUGGAGAUAUCACAAGUGCGAAUGCUGACAUGAGUAACGAUAAAGGGGGUGAGAGGCCCCCUCGCCGAAAAUCCAAGGUUUCCUGCUCAACGCUAAUCGGAGCAGGGUGAGUCGGCCCCUAAGGCGAGGCAGAGAUGCGUAGCUGAUGGGAAACAGGUCA